GAAAUUUAUAUAUUUAUGAACUUUACUAGUAACCCUCAGCUAUGAAGAAAGUGGCGAAAAAUGCCGAACAGGCCUUCUGGUAGGAAUCGGCCAACGGCCCUACGAUUCUGGUUCGCACGUAACAGUACCAUCUACAAAACCCAUCUACGUACAUUUGUAUAUAUUCUUGGGUUUAUAUGACGUCACAAAAGUGACGGGGGGUCAACUCUAAAUCAAAACACAGUUAUCAGAGUGAGUCGAUUAUUUGUUUUAUGUAUUAGCCUUGUGUUUGGUGGCAAAUACGUGAAAUUUCGCAUCAUUUUCUCACUCCAAUACAGCAUAAGCACCAAUACAUUUGGGGUUGACCCCCGCCCCGUCAGAUUCACUGCAUAAUGCCGUAGUGAAACCCAAGAAUAUACUAUAUGUAUCAAAUUGACAUUCGAUACUUCGAUACAUUUGACAUAUGUUUUGGGGCUGCAAUGGGUAUUCUUGGGUUUAAAUCACGUGAUAUUCUAGCACAAUUUGACUGAAGUGGGGG